rnacentral:RNase_P_RNA from 2 species
GAUGCUGAGUAAUUGCGCAUAAUAUUUCUUAUGUGAGGAAGGUCCAUGCUCGCACAUUCUGAGACGGAUGUAGUGUUUGUGCUGGGAUAAGAAAUAAACCCAGGGGUGGUGGUAACACCAUUACGGCAACUGAAAGUGCUAAGGCUUUGCUAUGCAUGAAUAGGUUUGAAAGUGCUAUAGAAACGGAUAUGCUAAUGAAAGUUAGUAUUUGAGACGAGGUAAACCCCACAAGCGGGCAACCCAAACUUUGGUAGGGGCGGCUGACCUAGUGAAAUGAAACGAUGGUCGGUAUGGUUCGUUAGCGAACUUAGAUAGAUGAUUACUGAAGGUAUAAGCUCCUGACUUAUACUGGAACAAAACAUGGCCUAUAGGC